rnacentral:lncRNA from 1 species
GUAAAUGAAAAUAAAUAAAAUAUAAUAUUACCUCCAAAAAGUUAAAUUUGUUUGUAUAACACUAAAAUGUAUGAAAUUCAAUUUUGUUUAAAAUUGUAACAAACAAUCAACUUACUUGACAAAUAAAAUUAAACAUAUAAAAUACAACUCUUCACUUUAAUCUUGUUGGUCCGAGAGGAAAGAAAAUAAGAGUCCAGAUGCAAGGUAGAGAAAAAAGAAUAAGAAUAAAAGUGGAGAACAAGAUAAAUGAUCUGAAUGAAUACUAUCUUCUUGAAAAGCAGAGGAGGUGACCAUAAUAUAGCUAAGAAAAACAAUUGUAAUACAGACAGUUAAAACAGAAAAAAAAAAAAAACUGAACACAGGUUACG